rnacentral:tRNA from 1 species
CGGUGUGGCGGAAUUGGUAGACGCGCGGGAUUCAAAAUCCCGUUUUCCUUGGAAAGUGUCGGUUCGAGCCCGACCACC